CUCAAGCAGUUUUCACUUCUAUUAGUGAACUUAUUUUUAAUAUUUAUGAUCCAACUAAAUUUCAAGUAGAAGCACCUGUGUUCGAUCGGUUUACGCAAAAGGGUUUCUUUUCUCCCAAAGAUCACACCAUUGAAGCCAUUGCUGCUCAAAAAAAUCAUUUACCCAUUGAAGACCGAAUACCGUUGUUGGAGCAUCUAAACAUAGCUGUUCCCAUGGUUGUUGAUUCGAUCGAUGGGUACUUUCUUCCAGCAGUUCUUCAAACAGCCACUAGUGAGGUGUUGAAUAAGCCUCUCGAUGGAGCAAAUCCUGAUCAAGAUCCAGAGCCCCUUUGUGUCCGUUUUAAAACUGGUUUUGUGCCAAUGGGAUUUGUUUCCGCUCUAGUUGCUAACCUACUAAAUAGUUACAGAGAUUCACUUGAAUUACUUGGGAAACAGCAACAUAAAGUGGUGUACAAAAACAAAAUCACGUUUCGAUUUCAAGGGCGUUUUGAUAUUGUGUUGCUUUCCUGGGCCAAGUACUGUGAGUAUCGAGUAGCACGAGUCCCAGGACCAGGCCAUGAACAGUUUUGCUGCUCAUUAAUCAAAGACAUGCUAGAGAAAUCAAUCAAAGACGUCAUCGACAGAAUGAGACAGAGUUCUCUAUUCCAGCAGUCACAGGGCUAUGAUUUUGCUUUCAAAUGCCCUCAAAGCAAUUGCAAGAAGAGAAUAGGUUACGAAUCAUUGGUGGUGGUACUUAAUCCCAAAGACCUUAAAAGCCUAAACUGUGAGAGCUGCAAAAUCGCUGUACAUGCAACCCCUCAAAUGAGUACCUGGUUCCUGAAAUUUCAAGAUGAAGAAACUAGUCAAGAAUCUGAAGUAGUUUCAGCUAUAAAAGAAUUGUGCCCAGCUGCAAAAUGGUAUAGUCUAGCUAUUCAACUCGGUUUUUGCUACAAAAAAAGAAAGUCAAUAAAAGAAGACCACCAGCUUAGUGGAGUGGAAAAUUACCUUUCAGCAAUGCUAAGUGAUUGUCUCUCCCAUAUCUCCGAUACCCCUACCCCUACUAUGAAGCACUUGAGUCUCCCACAGUCGGGUGCCAGGAUAUUAUCGACCAAAUCAGGAACAAUCAAAAAAUAGCUGAUGCUCCAAUUCCUGAUGACUUUGUAGAAACAUGUGAUCUCUCCACUAAAAGAUCAGAAUCUUGCUGUAUAGGUCCUCUCUGCAUUGACAAGCACUUGAAGGUUGUAAGAGAAGAUACCUGGGAGGUACGUGCCAGCUGGAAGAGUGUGGGGCUGCAGCUCGGAAUUGCCUCGACCAAACUAGACGUCAUUAAGGCUGACUGUAGGGACUGUGAGCCCUGUUUCACUGCCAUGCUGGAACACUGGUUGGCCGAAAGGUCUGCUGACACCCCUUACACAACCUGGUCAGCCCUCACUACAGCACUAAGGUCUCCUGCAGUUGCUAACCUUGACGUUGCUGAGCAAAUUGAUACAAAGCACGUACAUUAAUUAACCUCUUUGCACUGAAAACAGCUAAACACAUGCAAGUCAUGCAACUAGUUAUAGUUUAGCUAUAGCUCACCAGUUUUUUUAGCUAUAUAUGCAUAAUUUCACUUUCUGUAGUCAAUAUUUUGGUUUAGUUAUAAUUAUUAACCUAGAUAU